GGCCCGCUCCCAGCCGUGCCCUAGCAGCGGGAACAGUAUUGCACCAUGCGUUCGGGCUCUGGAGUAUUGUUGCUGCUGCCUGAGUAAGGCUGGGACUCCGCAUGGGC
rnacentral:miRNA from 1 species